rnacentral:rRNA from 1 species
UUUUUGUGGAGGGUUCGAUUCUGGCUCAGGAUGAACGCUGGCGGCGUGCUUAACACAUGCAAGUCGAACGGGAUCCAUCAAGCUUGCUUGGUGGUGAGAGUG